ensembl:rRNA 5S_rRNA 5S ribosomal RNA
GUCUACGGCCAUACCACGAUGAAUGCACCCAAUCUCGUCUGAUCUCAGAAGCUAAGCAAGGUCCGGCCUGGUUAGUACUUGGAUGGGAGACCACCUGGGAAUACCGGGUGCUGUAGGCU